ACAACGAGCUUUCUUGUACUCCCCUGUCUCAUUUUGAGUAAUUGUCCGUCUUAUUUAAAAUUUUUUUAUAAUUAAUAUUUCUGUUAUUAUGAAAUGAUAAAACAUAAAUAAUAAUUUACUUGUGACUUAUAUUUUUAAUUUUUUUAAAAGUAAUUUUAAAUAAGACAGACGAUUAAAGUUUACAUAAAAAACCAUAACUGUGUUUAAA
rnacentral:pre_miRNA from 1 species